rnacentral:tRNA from 1 species
GACCCCGUAGUUCAAUGGAUAGAACGAGUGCCUUCUAAGCAUUAAAUUUAGGUUCGAUUCCUAACGGGGUCACAA